AAGGACAUAGAAUUUGAUGCACAUAGAAUGCUGGGAAGAUAGGAAAUGUGGUUAUAGCAGAUGUCUUAGACUGUCGGCUAACAUCAGCAUCUGAACCAUCUCAUGCUUGCCAUGUACAACUAUCAUGUUGUUUGUUUCAUCAGGUGAUUCUGCACUGUAGCUUGGGAAAAUUGAGCCUCACCUUAUGAGACUCUUGGAGCUGUGACAUAAAGCUGCCUGUGGUUUGUUUCUCCAGACUGAGAUUGCCACCUCUACGGGCCACUCGUCCAGUUUUCCAAAUAUUUUCUAUCCUCCUCUGGGCCUAUUCUGUGCUUUCCAACUCCAGAUGAUCAUUUUCUAGGGGAUAUAGAGGCACAAUAAGAGGGGCCCUUCCCUCUGAAAUCUCCCACAUUGCUGAUUCCCAAGACUCUUUCCAGGGUCCUUUGGUCAAUAACAAUAAUUUUCCAUUGGAGUUUUGGCUUUCUGUGUCUCUGCUGCAGUUGUGUAGAUCUUCUAGUUGGGGUGGUUAGGAGAGGAGAAAAUGGAAGGGGGGAAAAGGAAGAGUCAAGGAGGAGAGGAAAAGAGAAGAAAAGGAACAGGGAAGUGGGAGAGAAGAGAGGGAGAGGAGACAUCGGGGAAAUGGGAGAGGAAGAGGCUGGGAGAGGAAAGAAGGGGGUCAGAACAAGGGGGAAGUGGGGAGAAGCUAGUUACUCCCAGUUGUCUGCUCACAGCAAACUUUGUAUAGACACACACGUAUUGCAUAUACAUACACCCAUACAUAAAACAAAAAUACUAAUCGCAGGGUCUAGUCAUUUUUUUAAAGGUGGUAGAUUCUAUGGUAUGUGUGUAGUGUGUAUGAGGAUACGAAUCCAGGCAAGGGUGUACCAAGCAUGCAUGUGUAGGUCAGAAGGUGAUCUUUCAGGAGUCUGUCCUUUCUUUCCAGCUCAUGACAAGCCUGUCUCUCCUGUUCUUUCUGCUUCUUCAUCACUUCCUCCAGGCUAGCUGGCCUGUGAGCCACUGGGCAAAUUCUCCUGCUUCUCCCUCCCGUCUCUUACUCAGCAUUCUACGAUUUCAAAUGAGAGCCACUGCACCCAGCUUUUUGAGUGGAUCGCAGGGAUCAGACCCAGGACAUCCAGCUUGUACAGCAAGUGCCUUCAUUCGGUAAGCCAUCACCCCAAGCCCUGUUUUUGAAAAAUACUUUUACAGAUUUAUGCAUUUUAUGUAUAUAUGUAUUUUUUCUGCAUGUAGAUCUGCACACAGGAAGGCAUUGGACUACAGUUGUAACGGUUGUGAGUUGCCAUGUGGGUGCUGGGAAUUGAAGUCAGGGCCUCUGGAAAAGCAGCCAGUGCUCUUAACUGAGGAGCCAUCUCUCUAGCCCCUGUUUUUGAAAUUUUUUAUCACUCUUAUCUGCCUAUUUCUCUCAUGAAGUCUUCUUGUACUUGCUGCUAAACUCUGUUACUUGUAAUCACUGAGCCUGUUAAGUAGUAACAUGUUGCUUGAAAAACCAAGGAGGAGAAGACUGAAGUGUGAACACU
rnacentral:lncRNA from 1 species